rnacentral:lncRNA from 1 species
CCAUUUUAUUACUCAAGUUUUUCAGAACCUCUUGCUCAGCGAGAACAUAUUGAAUUUUACGGUGCCAAAUAUCAUAAUUGUCACCAUCCAAUUUGUCGCCCUUAUUUAAAUUUGCAACAAUUUGCUUGGAGGCCAUUAAAUUUCACUAUUUGUUCAUGCAAUGCGCAGAAAAGGAUAUUUUAAAAUUAGUACACGAUACAUAUAUUCAAUUUUGCCGCAUCUCUAAUUAAAUAAAUUAAAAAUUAGACCAUAGAUGCGUACGCUAUGCUCAUAAUCACAUCACACACCAUAUGUCAAAAGUUUUUAAAUACUUAAUUAAGAUGUACAAAAUAUUUGGAAGUAAAAGCAUAUAAUUACUCUACCAAAAAUAAAAGAGAAAAAAAAAC